rnacentral:lncRNA from 1 species
UCUGCUUGAUUAGCUAGCUUCCAGGGAGGAUCAAUAUGAAAUCCAAUUGCUUAAAUACUAUCUUUGUCGUACGAUCCAAAAAAUCCGCGAAACUUGCCAUCUGAUAAUCGAAGUCUACCACCUCAGCACCUUGACUGGGAUCACACAAGUGAAGUCCGGUCCGUAAGUGCCUUUGUAUAGAAGUAAUGGAACAUAGAUGAUUUUUUGGAUAUUGUGACUAAAGACAAUUGCGUCUGCUCACACAAUCUCUAUAACAUUUUAAAUCGGUUAGAUAAAGAUUAUUUGUCAUAUUUGAGCCUUUACAAGCCACAAAUAAACAACUA